rnacentral:rRNA from 1 species
UACCUGCAGCCCGAGUGGUGGCCGUUAUUAUUGGGCCUAAAACGUCCGUAGCCGGCUGAGUAGAUGCCUGUGUAAAUCGAACGGCUUAACCGUUCGAACUGCGGGUAGACCGCUCAGCUUGGGACCGGGAGAGUCACGAAGUACUCCGGGGGUAGAGGUGAAAUGCGCAGAUAUCAGGAGGAACACCGGUGGCGAAGGCGGGUCUCUGGGCAACAACUGACGCUGAGGAGCGAAAGCGUGGGGAGCGAACAGG